rnacentral:lncRNA from 1 species
AUGCAUUCAGGGAUCUGGUGCUCCAUCACUCGCAUUCUCACAGUUAUCACAAAUUUCUCUGGGCUGUGCCAGCGAAGGACAGAAUGGGUGAGGAUCCCUGGUCACAGGCAUUCCAUUCACUGCCUGCUCAUCUGCCUCCCACCCCUGUCUGUUUCUUUUCUUGGAUUCUUCUCUUCUUGUGUUUUUUUCCCACUUAUCUCCUCACAGGAUAUGAGUAACAGCCUCCAAAGUCAAACUGAGUUACUCACUUCCUCCACAUGGGAUCACAGGUCCCCAAAGCACACAUUCUGCAGAAUCACACAAAUAUUUGCAUGCCUGCCCUACAGUAGGAAUGAGCUUUGGGAGAGCGACCCUGUGAGAUUUCUUGCAUUCCAUGUGUUCUAUCAGGUAAUAGAAGCAGAAGGAAAGUGGGUUUGGCUGUGCCCUCAGUUGGCCUCCUGUCAGCAGAAGCUAAACUUUCAAAAUGUUACUGAAAUACAUAGAUACAAGCUAGAGCAAUUAGACAUUCAGAGAUGGCCACUCUGCUUCGCUGGCUUGGAAGAUGGGGGCAAAAUGCUCAUUCCCAUGUCUCCACCCUACAAGGCCUGCAUGGAUGACCUCCAUUGUUGA